GCUAGGGGGCAUAGCGCUUACCGAACCUUAUCAAACUCCGAAUGCCACAUACUUUGAGCUCGGCAGUCAGACUACGAAUGAUAAGAUCCGUGGUCAAAAGGGAAACAGCCCAGAUCGUCAGCUAAGGUCCCAAAGUGUAAGUUAAGUGGGAAAGGAUGUGAGAUUUCUAAGACAACUAGGAUGUUGGCUUAGAAGCAGCCAUUCAUUAAAAGAGUGCGUAAUAGCUCACUAGUCGAGAGAUCUUGCGCCGAAAAUGUAACGGGGCUAAACUUACCACCGAAGCUACGGGCUUGAACUUAUGUUCAAGCGGUAGGAGAGCGUCGUAACCGGGCUGAAGUCGUACCGUAAGGAGCGGUGGACUGGUUACGAGUGAGAAUGUUGGCAUCAGUAGCGAGAUGUGGGUGAGAAUCCCACAGGCCGAAAACCUAAGGUUUCCUCAGGAAGGUUCGUCCGCUGAGGGUUAGUCGGGACCUAAGCCGAGGCCGAAAGGCGUAGGUGAUGGACAACUGGUUGAUAUUCCAGUACCACUACCAUUGUUAUUAUCGAUGGCGUGACGCAGGAGGAUAGUGUGUGCUAGCUAUUGGAUGCUAGUCUAAGCGUUUAGGCAGUGAGAGUAGGCAAAUCCGCUCUCAUAAUGCUGAGGCGUGAUGGGGAAGGUUCCACGGAACCGAAGUACAUGAUUCCACGCUGCCAAGAAAAGCGUCUAGAGAGAGAAGUAGUGCCCGUACCGCAAACCGACACAGGUAGGUGAGGAGAGAAUCCUAAGGCCGGCGGAAGAAUUACAGUUAAGGAACUCGGCAAAUUGACCCCGUAAGUUCGCGAGAAGGGGUGCCUACGAGAGUAGGCCGCAGAGAAUAGGCCCAAGCAACUGUUUAGCAAAAACACAGGUCUCUGCUAAAGCGUAAGCUGAUGUAUAGGGGCUGACGCCUGCCCGGUGCUGGAAGGUUAAGGGGAACACUU
rnacentral:rRNA from 1 species